rnacentral:rRNA from 1 species
GACGAACGCUGGCGGCGUGCUUAACACAUGCAAGUCGAACGGUAAGGCCCUUCGGGGUACACGAGUGGCGAACGGGUGAGUAACACGUGGGUGAUCUGCCCUGCACUUCGGGAUAAGCCUGGGAAACUGGGUCUAAUACCGGAUAGGACCACUGCCUGCAUGGGUGGUGGUGGAAAGCUUUUGCGGUGUGGGAUGGGCCCGCGGCCUAUCAGCUUGUUGGUGGGGUGAUGGCCUACCAAGGCGACGACGGGUAGCCGGCCUGAGAGGGUGACCGGCCACACUGGGACUGAGAUACGGCCCAGACUCAUACGGGAGGCAGCAGUGGGGAAUAUUGCACAAUGGGCGCAAGCCUGAUGCAGCGACGCCGCGUGAGGGAUGACGGCCUUCGGGUUGUAAACCUCUUUCAGCACCGACGAAGCGCAAGUGACGGUAGGUGCAGAAGAAGGACCGGCCGACUACGUGCCAGCCGCCGCAGUAA